CAGGAGGAGUCGAACAUUAACUCUGCUCUUCCAGGGCACCCUGCAGACUUGGCUGCUGGCAUUGGCGAGGGAUUGCGGCCGCCGCUAGGAUGACGUGAACACCAAUCAUAGGUCGACUGCAGCUCCUUGUCUCAGAGUGGGAGGGCUUUGAAGCACAAAGGGAGGAGCUUGUCAUUUGGUUGGCUGAUAUGGAUGUCCACCUGAGUGAGGUUGACCAGCUGACAGGAAACACCUGUGAAAAACUGAAACAACUGCAGGUGUGGGGUUGUUUUGAUAUGACAUAUAUUUGAUAUGAUACAUACGUCAGAGACAUUAUCCUAAA